GAUGAAGAACGUAGCGAAAUGCGAUAAGUAAUGCGAAUUGCAGAAUCCGUGAGUCAUCGAAUCUUUGAACGCACAUUGCGCCCCUUGGUUAUUCCGAAGGGCAUGCCUGUUCGAGCGUCAUUAUACCCCUCAAGCCUAGCUUGGUGUUGGGGCCUGCUGUUACCGGCAGCCCUUAAAAUCAGUGGCGGUGCCAUCUGGCUCUAAGCGUAGUAAUACUUCUCGCUACAGGGUCCCGGUGGAUGCUUGCCAUCAACCCCUAAUUUUCUAUGGUUGACCUCGGAUCGGGUAGGGAUACCCGCUGAACUUAAGCAUAUCAAUAAGCGGAGGA
rnacentral:misc_RNA from 1 species